rnacentral:rRNA from 1 species
UACGUAGGGGGCUAGCGUUGUUCGGAAUUACUGGGCGUAAAGCGCGCGCAGGCGGCUAUCCAAGUCAGUGGUGAAAGCCCGGAGCUUAACUCCGGAACUGCCAUUGAAACUGUUUAGCUUGAGGACGAGAGAGGUGAGUGGAAUUCCCAGUGUAGAGGUGAAAUUCGUAGAUAUUGGGAAGAACACCGGUGGCGAAGGCGGCUCACUGGCCCGAUACUGACGCUGAGGCACGAAAGCGUGGGGAGCAAACAGG